rnacentral:rRNA from 1 species
GGCGGGACACGUGGUAUCCUGUCUGAAUAUGGGGGGACCAUCCUCCAAGGCUAAAUACUCCUGACUGACCGAUAGUGAACCAGUACCGUGAGGGAAAGGCGAAAAGAACCCCGGCGAGGGGAGUGAAAAAGAACCUGAAACCGUGUACGUACAAGCAGUGGGAGCACCCUUUGGGGUGUGACUGCGUACCUUUUGUAUAAUGGGUCAGCGACUUAUAUUCUGUAGCAAGGUUAACCGAAUAGGGGAGCCGGAGGGAAACCGAGUCUUAAUUGGGCGUUAAGUUGCAGGGUAUAGACCCGAAACCCGGUGAUCUAGCCAUGGGCAGGUUGAAGGUUGGGUAACACUAACUGGAGGACCGAACCGACUAAUGUUGAAAAAUUAGCGGAUGACCUGUGGCUGGGGGUGAAAGGCCAAUCAAACCGGGAGAUAGCUGGUUCUCCCCGAAAGCUAUUUAGGUAGCGCCUCGUGAAUUCAUCUCCGGGGGUAGAGCACUGUUUCGGCUAGGGGGCCAUCCCGGCUUACCAACCCGAUGCAAACUGCGAAUACCGGAGAAUGUUAUCACGGGAGACACACGGCGGGUGCUAACGUCCGUCGUGAAGAGGGAAACAACCCAGACCGCCAGCUAAGGUCCCAAAGUCAUGGUUAAGUGGGAAACGAUGUGGGAAGGCCCAGACAGCCAGGAUGUUGGCUUAGAAGCAGCCAUCAUUUAAAGAAAGCGUAAUAGCUCACUGGUCGAGUCGGCCUGCGCGGAAGAUGUAACGGGGCUAAACCAUGCACCGAAGCUGCGGCAGCGACGCUGAUGCGUUGUUGGGUAGGGGAGCGUUCUGUAAGCCUGUGAAGGUGGCCUGUGAGGGUUGCUGGAGGUAUCAGAAG